rnacentral:lncRNA from 1 species
CGGUUAUAACUAUCAUUUUAAUAGUGCCUAGAAAUAUAUUUGUAAAAUAUAUUUGUAAAAUAUGUUUGUAAAAAUAUGUUUGUAAGUAAAAUAUUUAAAGAGUUCAUAUGUAUAAUAUGAAAAAAAAUGACAACUUAUAUUUAUUGAUAAACAAUUAUUAUUGAUAAAUAUUUAUUAAUAAACAGUUAUUAAUAAACUUCAAACCAAACCACAGGGGGGCAAAUUGAAACAUUUUAAACCACAGGGGGACAAAGUGAGAAACUACGAAACCACAGGGUGGGCAAAGUGAGAAACUACGAAACCACGGGGGGUUUGAAGCUUUCCC